GUGACUGCAGAUUGCAGAAGCACAGAAGAAGAUACUACUACUACAUAGUAGUACAUAGCCCUAGUAUCUUCAGAGAGCAGGAAGAACAUAGUAGAUAGAGACAUAGAGUGCGCUAUGUAUAUCUGCAGUCUGCAGAGAUGAGGGAGGAUGUGCGUUCUUGUGGGGGGUUUGGGCCCUGUGAUCAGGAGAGAUGACACCGACAUCGCCGGAAUUCGUUCUUGGUCUUGUGCCAUGAUGAAUUGAUGGUCCGUUUGAUGCAGGUGUCAUCUCCCCUGAACAUAGGACUGACUGACCCUGAAUGGAUGUGUACCUCGAUGAUUCUUCGGUUUCUUCUGUUCUGUUCUGUUCUUGAUUUGCUUUUACAAGGUAAUGCCUGAUGCUAGUAUGCAAAUGUCAGCUUGUCUCCUCGAUUGGUUUCUCUUUCCAUGAUUAUCUGCAGGUGAUAAGAGUUGAUUAUCCAAGCUCUGACAUAGACGUGUGAGAAGGACAUAGGUUGCGGAGUCAACCACAAGGUUUGCCAUCCACUCUUGCCAGGGCAGACAGUAAUUUAGGCGUCACUUAGCUGUAAAAACGGGAAUACCAUUAACUACUGCCCAGAAAAACUCGGUGUCUUCAUUGACAACACAUGGUGCAUUCUU
rnacentral:precursor_RNA from 1 species